CUUCAAUUAAUAAAGCCAUCCCCUUUUACAUUUUCUCUGCUUCAGCUAGGCUUCAACAACAAAACCCAGAUACCAUUUUCUCUCUUUUCAACCUUUCUGCAACAUCUAUGGCUCGUUCUACUGUCCUGGCGCUCAUUUUCUUGGUACCCUUCGCUGCAUUUUUGUCAAAUAUUGAGGGCAGGAAGCUGUUGAUGACUGAUACAGAGGAGUACAAUAAAAAAGAGGUAAGAAUUACUGUCCCUUCUCUGUUUGAGAGCUUGUUUUUCAGUGCCCUUCCAAAGGGUACAGUUCCAUCUUCUUCUCCAAGCAAUAAGGGUCAUGCCACAUUAGAUAAUGAGCAGCUCUUCCAGAGGCAUCUCGCUAGCAUCGAUCGGAUUCUACAGUCUGUUCCAAGCCCUGGUGUUGGCCAUUAAGACUCUCACUCCCAAGUUUCCAUAUUAAUGAAAUACACUACCUGCUUUUGUCGCUAGAGUUUUAAUAAUUUUUUAGUUCUUUUUUUUCCUGGUGGGUUAAAUGUAUACAU
rnacentral:misc_RNA from 1 species